rnacentral:rRNA from 1 species
GACGAACGCUGGCGGCGUGCCUAAUACAUGCAAGUCGAGCGGAACUGGGGGAGCUUGCUCCUUCCAGUUUAGCGGCGGACGGGUGAGUAACACGUGGGCAACCUGCCCUGCAGAUCGGGAUAACUCCGGGAAACCGGUGCUAAUACCGAAUAGUUUGGCGCCUCUCCUGAGGCGCUACGGAAAGACGGUUUCGGCUGUCACUGCAGGAUGGGCCCGCGGCGCAUUAGCUAGUUGGUGGGGUAACGGCCCACCAAGGCGACGAUGCGUAGCCGACCUGAGAGGGUGACCGGCCACACUGGGACUGGGGCACGGCCCAGACUCCUACGGGAGGCAGCAGUAGGGAAUCUUCCGCAAUGGACGCAAGUCUGAUGGAGCAACGCCGCGUGAGUGACGAAGGUUUUCGGAUCGUAAAACUCUGUUGUGAGGGAAGAACACGUACCAACUAACUAUUGGUACCUUGACGGUACCUCACCAGAAAGCCACGGCUAACUACGUGCCAGCAGCCGCGGUAA